CAGCCCUGGCAACGGGGGCAGCCCAUACCCCACCCAUCCCGGUCACCAUACUGCUCCCCACGACACUUGCAAUAUUGGGUAGACCGUGAGAUCUCAAUGCUGGAGUCCGAAAAGACCUGGACCCAAAACCUGACUCCACUGGUAGUAGCUGGGUGUUGCCAGAAACAUUUACUGGACUCUUCUGCACUUUCCUUUCUUCACCUGUACGAUGGAAACAAUAACAACACUCCCCUCCACAGAUUCCUUAUGAGGAAUCUGUGGAAGCAGGCCACCUGGGAGUUUUCUGAACCUUAGCUCAUGAUGUUGAAUAAUGCACAUGAAAUGGGCAAGUGGGGUCUGAAUUUCAGUCUCGUUCCCUCAGGUGGUGUUUCUUAAACGUCCUUGACAUACUAAACACUGAGCUGGUCCCUGGCCUCCAGUGGUACGCUGAGCAGACAGUGUCCUGGUCGUGAUGUGGACAAUCUGCCUUUCCUAUUCCACUGGAAUGACUCUUCAAGCUCACAGGCACCUGCCUGUUGCUAAACGCAGGAGUCAAUUCUCAUCUUCACUUUCCCUGACCCUCUGGCAACAGUUGACACGUUACCUCCUUAGAACAUUCUAUUCAUGGGGCGCCUGGGUGGGUGGCUCAGUCGGUUGAGCGUCUGACUUCAACUCAGACCAUGAUCUAGUGGUUCACGAGUUCGAGCCCCGCGUCGGGCUCUGUGCUAACAGCUCAGAACCUGCAGACUGCUUUGGAUUCUCUCUCUCUCUCAAAACUAAAUAAACAUUAAAAAUUAAAAAAAAAAAAAAAGACAUUGUAUUCACUUGGCUUCCAACGCACCGCACACUUAACACACUUCUGGGUUUCUUCCCAUGCCAAUAGCUGCUCUUUCCCAGGCUCCCUUGUAGCUUCCUCUUCUUCCCACUCACCUCUUGGUAACGAACUACCCCAGGACUUGGUCCCCUAUCUGUAUUCACACCCUUAGCUUCCAGUCUUGUGACCGUAAGAAACCAUCUACAUCCUAGGUAUCUAACCCAAAGGAAUAGAAAAUAGGUACUUGAACAAAUACUUGAAAACAAAUAUUUAUUGCUGUGCCACUACUCACCAAAGCUAAAAGUUGGAAACAGUCCAAGUGUCUGUUAACAGAUGAAUGGAUGGACUGUGGUGUACACAUUCAAUGGAAUGUUCAUCCACAAAAAGAAAUGAAGUUCUAAUGCAUGCUAUGAGGUGGGUGAACCUUGAAACCGUGCUAAAUAAAAGAAAUCAGACAGUCUGUUGCAAAUGCCCAGAAUAGGCAAAUCCAUACAGACAGAAAGCAGAUUGCCCAGGGUCUUGGGAGAAGGGGGAGGGAAUACCUGCUUGAUUGGUUCAGGGUUUUAUUUGGGGAUGAUGAAAAUAUUUUGGAACUAGAUAGACGCGGAGCUUACACAUUGUGAAUGCACUAAAUACCACUGAGUUGCUCAUUUUCUUUUUCUUUUCUUUUUUUUUUUUUUGUUUAUUUAGAGAGAGAGAGAGAGAGAGAGAGCGAAUGGAAGAAGGGCAGAGAGAGAGAGAAUCCCCAGCAGGCUCCAUACCACCAGUGCAGAGCCUGAUGCAGGGCUCAAACUCAUGAACCAUGAGAUCAUGACCUGAGCUGAAAUCAAGAGUCCAACGAUUAGCCAACUGAGCUACCCAGGCGCCCCUGUAUUGUUCAUUUUAAAAUGUCUAAUUCUGUAGGGCGCCUGGGUGGCUCAGUCGGUUAAGCAUCCGACUUCAGCUCAGGUCACAAUCUCACGGUCCGUGAGUUCGAGCCCCGCGUUGGGCUCUGGGCUGACAGCUCAGAGCCUGGAGCCUGCUUCGGAUUCUGUGUCUCCCUCUCUCUCUGCCCCUCCCCCAAUUGCACACAUGCUCGCUCGCUCUCUCUCUCAAAAACAAAUAAAAAGCAAUUUAAAAAAAAAUGAACAACCCAACUAAAAAAUGGAUAAGCCUGGACAGACACCUCACCAAAGAUCUAUAGGUGGUAAAUAAGCAUAUGAAAAGAUGUUCAGGGUAUUGCAAAUUAAAGCAACAGUGACAUACGACUGUACACUUAUUAGAAUAGUGUAAGUCCAACUUGGAAAACGCCAGAUGCUGGUGAGGAUGUGGAACAACAGGAACUCUGUUUCACUGUUCGUAUAAAUGGAAAAGAGCGCAGACACUUGGGGAGACGGUUUGGCAGUUUCUUAUAAAACUAAACAUAGUCUUCCAUAUGACCCAGCGUUUGCAUACCUUGAUAAUUACUCCAAGGAGCUGAGAACUUAGGUCCGCACGAAAACCUGCAUAUAAAUGUUUAUAGUGACUUUAUUCAUAGCUAUCAAAAUUUAGAAGCAACCAGGACACCUGGGUGGCUCAGUCAGUUAAGUGUCCAACUUCAUCUCAGGUCACGAUCUCCUGGUUAGUGGGUUCGAGCCCCGCGUCGGGCUCUGUGCUGACAGCUCGGAGCCUGGAGCCUGCUUGGGAUUCUGUGGCUCCCUCUCUCUCUGCCCCUCCCUCGCUCAUUCAUUCUCUCUCUCUCUCUCUCUCUCUCUCUCUCUCUCUCAAAUAAACAUUUAAAAAUUAAAAAAACAAACAAACUUGGAAGCAACCAAGAUGUCCUUUACCAGAUAAAUAAACUGUGGGACAUCCAGACAAUGGGAUAAUAGCAUUAAAAAGAAAUGUACUCAGGCUAUGAAAAGACAUGGAGGGACCACAAAUGCAUAUUCUAAAAUUAAAGAAGUCAAUUUGAAAAGCCUACAUACUGUAUGAUUCCAACUCUGUGACAUUCUGGAAAAGGAAAAACUGGAAACAGUGAAAAGGUCAUUGGAUCUGAGGGAUUACAGGGGAAGGAGGGAUGAAUAGGAGGGCACAGAGGAUUUUUAGGGCAGUGGAACUACUUUGUAUGAUACUGUAGUGGUGGAUAACAUGUCAUUAUACGUUUGCCCAAACCCAUGAAACCUACAACACCAAAAGUUGAUCUCAGGUUGUGGGUUUGAGCCUCAUGUUGGGCCUAGAGAUUACUUAAAAAUAAAAUCUUUGGGGUGCCUGGGUGGCUCAGUCGGUUGAGCGUCCACCUUCGGCUCAGGUCAUGAUAUCACAGUUCGUGAGUUCAAGCCCCACAUCGGUCUCAAUGCUGUCAGCCUGUCAGCACAGAGCCCUCGUUGAAUCCUCUGACCCCCUCUCUCCCCCCUCCCCCAGUUAUGCUCUCCCAAAAAUAAAUAUUACAAUAAAAAUAAAAUAUUUUUUAAAAUAGAUUUCAAAAAAAGAGAGGGGGCGGGGCACCAGGGUGGCUCAGUCAGUUUUGCAUCUGACUCUUGAUCUCAGCUGAGAUCUUGAUCUCAGGGUCAUGAAUUCAAGCCCCACAUUGGGCUCCGCGCUGGGCGUGAAUCCUACUUAAAUAAACAAUAAUAAAAUAAAACUUAAAAAAAAGAAUGAGAAAAUGUUUGCAGCAUCACUCCCUGUAUGGCAAAAAUAAAAUUCCCAGUGGGUUUUAGCAACCUUGGAGUCUGCAUGGUCACAUCUACAUUUUUAUGAAUCUGUCGUUUAUUAGGUGGACGUUUUUCACGUGCCUCUGCAGAUAUGUUAGAGUUUUCCAGAGAUGAGGAUAGUUCAUAUACAUGUAUAUAUGUACAUAUAUAUUUGUUCUCUUGCUUUUGUUAUGAACACAGACAGGCAUACCUCAUUUUAUUGCACUUUGUAAAUACUUCGUUUUUAUAAACUGAUGGCUUGUGGCAACCCUGCAUUGAACAAGUCCAUCAGCAUAAUUUUUCCUACAGCAUUUGCUCACUUCCUGUCUCUAUGUUAUAUAUUUCGGUACUCACAAUAUUUCAAACUUUUUCGUUAUUUUUAUAUUUGUUCUGUGGUCUAUGAUUAUGAUUCACUGAAAGCUCAGAUGAUAGCAUUUUCAAGCAAUAAAGUAUUUAUUUAUUUAUUUAUUUAUUUGUUUAUUUUAAUGUUUAUUUACUUUUGAGAGAGCAUGAGUAGGGGAGGGGCAAAGAGAGAGCAAGACACGGAAUCUGAAGCAGGCUCCAGGCUCCGAGCUGUCAGCACAGAGCCUGACACGGGGCUCGAGCUCGCAAACCUCGAGAUCAUGACCUGAGCCGAAGUCAGACGCUUAACCAACUAAGCCACUGCAAUAAAGUAUUUAUUAAUUAAGGUAUGUACAUUGUACAUUGUUUUUGGUUUUUUUUUAGACAUGAUGCUAUUACACACUUAACAGACCACACUAUAGUGUAAACAUACUUUUGUAUGUACGAGGAGAACCCAGGAUUCAUUUGACUUUCUUUACUGCGAUAUUCACCUUAUAAUGGUCUGGAACUGAACCCACAACAUCUCCAAGGUAUGCCUGUGUGUGUGUGUGUGUGUGUGUGUGUGUGUGUGUGUAUAAAACAGAGACAGAGAAAGGGGGUAAGAAUUAUUUGGAGGAUUUGGUUCACAUAAAUGUAGGGGCUGACAAGUCAAAAUCUAAUCUAUCGUGUAUACAUCACAUUAUCCAUCUGUUGACGGGCACUUGGGUUGCUUCCACACCUUGUCUGUUGUAAGUAAUGCUGCUAUAAACAUGGGUGUGCAAAUAUCUUUUUAAGUCCCCAAUGGUAAUCUUUCGCAAAAUUAUAGUAUAUGAUAUUAUGGUAGCGUAUAUGUAUGCAUAUACCUAUAUACACAUAUACAUACAUAUGUGGCUAACAAGUCAGAAAUUCAGGGAGGAGUAGAUGUUGCGGUCUUGAGUCAGAAUUCUACAGGGCAUCAUGCUAGAAAUUCAAGGAGGGUUUCUAUACAACAGUCUCGAAGAGAAUUUCUUCUUGGGGAAACCUCAAUCUUUACUCUUAAGACCUUCAACUGAUUGAGGCCCAUCUACAUUGUCUGGGGUCACAGCCACUUUACUCAAAGUUGACUGCUUUAAAUGUUAAUUACAACCAAAAUAAUACCUCCACAGCAACAUCUAGGCUAGUGUUUUACCAAACAACUAGAAGGCAUGGCCUGCCAAGUUGAUACAUAAAAUUAACCGUUGCCAAGAAAACUGGACCUCCCUCUUGUAGGACUUGAAUUACAAAGCUUACCAAAGUCCAGUGUGUGAAAAUGUAAAAAUGCAUCUCCUUCAAUUGCAAUUGUAAAGUGAAUAAUUUUUCAGUAACCUCUUCGGACCUCCCUUGGAACAUGAAAUUGCUUUUUUUUUUUUUUAGUUUUUUCACAUUUAUUUUUGAGAGACAGAGAUAGAGCAUGAGCUGGGGAGGAGCAGAGAGAGAGGGAGACAGAAUCCGAAGUAGGCUCCAGGCUCUGAGCUGUCAGCACAGACCCCGACGCAGGGCUUGAACUCAUGAACAGCGAGAUCAUGACCUGAGCCAAAGUCGGACGCUUAACCGACUAAGCCACUCAGGCGCCCCUGAAAUUGUUUAUUUAUUAAAGAAACAUAUUUAUUCCUCAAGCAUAUCCUACUGCCCUGAAAAAUAAGCCUCACAAGAAAGCAAUUUCCCCAGAUCAAGCAGUGAGAUGUGUAGUAUAGAAAACAGGAAACAGUCCUUCCAAAUACAAACCCAGGGCAAUAGAGUUCUUUUAGCAGGCAGCCCAGGUUUUCACUGAACUUAGGAAAUAACCAGCAUGGCACUAACAGUGGAUACCUAACUACCCACAUUUGUCAUAAUUUUAUUGUUUUUUUUUUUAAUGUUUUAUUUAUUUUUGAGAGAGAAAGAGAACACAGGUGAGGGGGGCAGAGAAAGACAGGACAGAGGAUCUGAUGCGGGCUCUGAGCUGGCAGCAGCGAGCCUGAUGUGGGGCUUGAACUCACGAACCGUGAGAUCAUGACCCGAGCCAAAGUCAAACCCUCAACCGACUGAGCCACCCAGGUGCCCCUAUUGGUGUUUUAUUCUAGCUGUAGUAUGUUUUAUUUUAAGUUGACUUUGUUAAACUUUUUGGAAUUAUUGCGGUUCAGGCCUCCAUCAAGAGUUUUACAUAUGUGUUUUACAUAUGAGUUUUAGUUUUACAUAUGUGUACACAUGAUAGGUUGUGUGUGUGUGUGUGUGUGUGUGUGUGUAUAACAUAAAAUUUGAGCUACGUUUGAAAUAUUUAUAGACAUUUCACCAUAGAGGAUAUACAGAUGGCAAAUAAACACGUGAAAAGGUGUUUAGUCAAUAUCGUUACCCCUUAAGGAAAUGUAAAUUAACACCACAGUGAGAAAUCACUACCAGCUAACAGAAUGGCUAAAAUGAAAAUGACUAACAACACCAAAUGCUGGCGAGGACAUGGAAAAACUGGAAUACAUUCAAAAACACGAGGAACAUACACGUGGCUGAUACGUCUUCUGCAGGCAGGCAUGUAAGAUGCUGCAGCCUUUCUGGAAAACAAUUUGGCAGCUUCAGAAAGAAGGACACAGACAACUAUCACAUGACCCGGUUAAUUGCACUCCUGGCGUUUAUCCUAAAGCAAUGAAAACAUGUUCGCACAGAAACCUGUGGGUGAGAGGGUGAAUGUUCAUAGUAGCUUUGUAUGGAACAGACAAAACCUGGAACCAGCCCAGGUGUCCUUCACACAGGUGAAUGAUUGAACAGACCUUGGUCAAUCCAUACUAUAGAAUACUACUCAGCAAUAAAAGGGAGUGAACUAUUUUAAUUUUUUAAUUUUAUUUAUUUAUUUGGAGAGAGAGAGGGCGCACUAGAGUGAGGGGCAGAGAGGAGAGACUUAAUCCCAAGCAGGCUCCAGCCGUCCGUGCAGAGCCCAUUGUGGGGCUCGAACUCACAAACUGUGAGAUCGUGACCUGAGCCGAGGUUAAGAGUCAGACACUCAACCGACUGUGCCACCCAGGCACCCCUGAACUUUUUUUUUUUUUUAAUUUAAGAGAGACAGAGGGAGAGAGAGAAUCUUAAGCAGGUUCCACACUCAGUGUAGAGUCCAAAACAAGGCUCAAUCCCAUGACCCUAGGAUCAUGACCUGAGCCCAAACCAAGGGUUGGAUGCUCAAGCAACUGAACCAUCCAGGCACCUUGGGAGUGAA